rnacentral:rRNA from 1 species
UACAGAGGGUGCAAACGUUGCUCGGAAUUAUUGGGCGUAAAGCGCGUGUAGGCGGCUUGUUAAGUCGGUUGUGAAAACCCAUGGCUCAACCAUGGAAGUGCGUCCGAAACUGGCAAGCUAGAGUCUUGACGAGGAUGGCGGAAUUCCCAGUGUAGAGGUGAAAUUCGUAGAUAUUGGGAGGAACACCGGUGGCGAAGGCGGCGAUCUGGGCUGAUACUGACGCUGAGGUGCGAAAGCGUGGGGAGCAAACAGG